rnacentral:lncRNA from 1 species
UCGGGUUGUGCCGUCGAGAGCGUUGGGCCGCCCCAGGGCCUUCAGCGUCAGAUGCGCCGCCUUUUGCCCGGAGAUCAUCAUCGCCCCAAACGUUGGCCCCUGCAACCAAAACCACACAGAACCCACCACCACACACGGAUCAAAUCUUUGUAAAGAUUCAUGUCGACUCAUCGAAUCGUUCUCGAUGAGCUCUGUUUGUCUCGGAAGUAAAUAAGCGAGAAAAAAGAUCCAAUCUUUUGCCAUAAACAACCUGAGAGAAGAAAGCAAUACAAAGAAUAUUGCUUUAUGUUAUAUCUGCAAGUAUAGUAUUCAGAAAGACCGAACUUUUUGGAGUGUUUUUCCCCUAAAAUCGACAAAUAAUUCUCAAAAUCAUACAAAUGACAAAUUUUAGUGCAACAUAAGCUGUAAAGAUUGAAUCUUUAUGAUAAAAGAUAUAAGAACAGAGGUGCCAAGAAAGACGGGAUAUAGAUACCAUUCUUGGAGCGCCAUCGAUCUCGGCGACCUCCAUGCCGGUGACGAUCAUGCCCGGGACGACCUCCCUGGUGAGUCGGACGAUGGCGUCCUCCGCUGCGUUCAUAUCCAGGGCCUUCAUCCCGGGCACCGAGUCGAUCAUCCCGAUGCCCUUCAGCCGCUUAACGCCGGUGGCGCCAAAGGGCCCGUCGUGGCCGCAGGAGCUCACCACCACCUUGGCCUCCAUCACGUUGGGGUCCAUGCAGGACUGGGUGUCAUGGUUCAUGGACACCAGCGCCCAGUUGGUCACCACGCCGGCGACGCGCCCUUCCUUGACGAUGAGGUCCUCGGCGGCGACGGCGUUGAAGAGCUUGACGUUGGGGCGGGCGAUGAGGCGGCUCAAGAUGGUGGAGGUGAAGAGUGCAGCGUGGCGGACCACGACGUAGCUGUCGGCCUCGUCGUACGGGACGCCGAGCUCGUCGAGGAAGAGGUGGGCGGGCUUGCGGACGACCAUGGCGGAGAAGAGCUGGCCGCCGAGCCACGCGCCGCCUCCUGGGGAGACGGACUGCUCCACGAUGGCCACGCGCACGGACGGGUCCUUGGAGAUCUCGUAUGCGCAGGACAGCCCCGCAG